GCUUUUAGAGUUUUAAAAGUUUGUUCUGCUCGGUGAUUUUAAACAGCCGCGGUAAUUUGACCGUGCAAAGGUAGCAUAAUCAUUUGCCUUAUAAUUGGGGGCUGGAAUGAAGGAAUAAACAAGAGUAAAUCUUUAUUUUUUAGAGAUUAAUAAUUUUCUUUCUUAGUGAAGAAGCUAAGAUAAAAAAGGGGACAAGAAGACCCUUUUGAGCUUUACUAACUUUCUUCUUAUGUAAAGUUAGUUUGGUUGGGGCGACCAAGGAGUAUCUUCCUAUUUUAUUUUGAUCCACAGUUUGUGAUUAAAAGAGUAAGUUACCAAAGGGAUAACAGCGUAAUUUUUUUUAAGAGUUCUUAUUAAAAAAAAAGAUUGCGACCUCGAUGU
rnacentral:rRNA from 1 species